AUGGGAUCCUCAUCUUUAUGUGAAAACGAAUUUUUCCAGUUACCUGCACAAGUUGCCACUGACGAUUUUGAGUUAAGCCACUUGGACAUACCAUCAGGUGACAUUUUCUCUGUGGAACCAUUGUGUGCCUUGGAUCCUUGUGCGGUGGGAGCUGUAGAGAGCAGUGAAAAUAGAUUUCAGCCUGAGCUUCCCCCACUUGGUGGCCAUGGACAGCCUCAAGAAUCACUUGCUUUAGACAAGUUGUCGAAUUCAUUGGUUUUCGAGGAGAGCACCAGUCAUGCCUCAUUCAACGAAGAAGACUACUAUUGCCGUCCAGAUCCUCCCCCGGUAUCCUUUGACUUGCAAGAUCUUGGCGCUGCGCUGAAGGGAGACGGUAUCAAAGCCCAAGCCAUAUGUCAUAGGAUGGAUAUUCUACACCAGGAGGAUGGCCGCUCACAAGAGGAAGAAAUCCGGGAAAUGAUGAUUUUCAUUUGCCUGUGGUUGAUUAGUUAA
rnacentral:rRNA from 1 species